AAAAAGGUAAGCUAAGUAAGCUAAUGGGUUCAUACCCCAUUCAUGGAGAUACAAAUUCUCUCCUUUUUA
rnacentral:tRNA from 1 species